rnacentral:rRNA from 1 species
GUUGCCAGCAAGUAGUCGUUGGGCACUCUAGCCAGACUGCCGGUGAUAAUCGAGGAAGGUGGGACGACGUCAAAUCAUCAUGCCCUUUAUGUCCUGGGCUACACACGUACUACAAUGGCCGUUACAACGGGAAGCGAAGGAGCAAUCCGGAGCAAAUCCCUUAAAGGCGGUCCCAGUUCAGAUUGUGGGCUGAAACUCGCCCACAUGAAGGCGGAAUUGCUAGUAAUUGCAGAUCAGCAUGCUGCAGUGAAUACGUUCCCGGGCCUU